AGUGAACGCUGGCGGUAGGCCUAACACAUGCGAGUCGAACGGCAGCACAGUAAGAGCUUGCUCUUACGGGUGGCGAGUGGCGGACGGGUGAGGAAUACAUCGGAAUCUACUUUUUCGUGGGGGAUAACGUAGGGAAACUUACGCUAAUACCGCAUACGACCUACGGGUGAAAGCAGGGGAUCUUCGGACCUUACGCGAUUGAAUGAGCCGAUGUCGGAUUAGCUAGUUGGCGGGGUAAAGGCCCACCAAGGCGACGAUCCGUAGCUGGUCUGAGAGGAUGAUCAGCCACACUGGAACUGAGACACGGUCCAGACUCCUACGGGAGGCAGCAGUGGGGAAUAUUGGACAAUGGGCGCAAGCCUGAUCCAGCCAUACCGCGUGGGUGAAGAAGGCCUUCGGGUUGUAAAGCCCUUUUGCUGGGAAAGAAAAGCAGCAGGUUAAUACCCCGCUGUUCUGACGGUACCCAAAGAAUAAGCACCGGCUAACUUCGUG
rnacentral:rRNA from 1 species